rnacentral:lncRNA from 1 species
UUUGUCCAAUUCCAUCAUUAGAUUGUGAACUCAAACUUUAUACUUAUAAGAACCGAUGAUUUAAUCUUCCGUAUAUAAGCUAAACUCUAUACACUAAACCAUCUACUAUAUAAGCAAAGGACACAGACUAUUAUAUAAUCUAUUUAAAACUUUAUUAAAACUAAAUAAACAAUUAUUUCAUAAUAAAUACUAUAUCUAAACUAAACUCAUGGUUAAUAGUAUAUAUCCCAACAUCUUAUUAGAGCCCACUAUUCUGACUGCGGUUUCUACAUGGUUAAAGUAUAUUACAUUUAAUUUUUGGCAGUCGAUGGAGUUAAAGCACCUCAUUCUUCUUUCAUUUUUUCUCCUUUUUUUCUUUAUUUUACCAAAUGUUGUUGUUUCUCUUUGAAUCUUUCAUUUGACAAACUAAGUAAACAUAAAAUUGAAAGGGCUAUCAGCAAUUUCUCCCAUAUAUAGAACUUCACUUUCCAAUAUAAACUAACUCUACAAGCGGCAGCAGUUGAACCAGCUCUUAGAAUCGCAGCAUGGCUAAUUAUCAGAAAAGAAUGGCUGAGCACUAUUCACAGGUGAACUUUCUUCUUGAGCAUCUGAGAGAUUCUCAGAAGUGCUACCAAAGGUAAGAGCUAAUAGAAAAGUCUUCCAUCCAGGUUUUAAUUGCUGGCAUGCAGUCUUGAGUUCGUUGUUUUUCGAAUAAGUUCAAAAUGUAAGACAUAAAAAGCAAAAUGCACAAGCAUAAACAACAAAUAAGCGACGAGUUUCACAAAUACUGCUGCUCACGUUUGCUAGAAGUGAAAUAAAACUGAAGAUGACAAAUGGGGACCGUUCUUAGUAAUUACAAGCACGCAACCCUGAUAAUGAAUUCAGCAUCAAAAGAACCAACGUUCCUCGUUGAGGAGUUAGAUGGUGGUGAUGUUCAAUCCAACAAGAAGUACAGAUUAUCGAACAUAAAACAGAAGCCAAUUUACUGAGCGACGGAUCAACAACAACAACAACAACAACAACUACCCAGUAUACUCCCACCAGGUGGGGUCUGGGGAGNNN